AUUGAACGCUGGCGGCAGGCCUAACACAUGCAAGUCGAGCGGAUGAAGGGAGCUUGCUCCUGGAUUCAGCGGCGGACGGGUGAGUAAUGCCUAGGAAUCUGCCUGGUAGUGGGGGAUAACGUCCGGAAACGGGCGCUAAUACCGCAUACGUCCUGAGGGAGAAAGUGGGGGAUCUUCGGACCUCACGCUAUCAGAUGAGCCUAGGUCGGAUUAGCUAGUUGGUGGGGUAAAGGCCUACCAAGCCGACGAUCCGUAACUGGUCUGAGAGGAUGAUCAGUCACACUGGAACUGAGACACGGUCCAGACUCCUACGGGAGGAAGCAGUGGGGAAUAUUAGACAAUGGGCGGAAGCCUGAUCCAGCCAUGCCGCGUGUGUGAAGAAGGUCUGCGGAUUGUAAAGCACUUUAAGUUGGGAGGAAGGGCAGUAAGUUAAUACCUUGCUGUUUUGACGUUACCAACAGAAUAAGCACCGGCUAACUUCGUG
rnacentral:rRNA from 1 species